GACGAACGCUGGCGGCGUGCUUAACACAUGCAAGUCGAACGGAAAGGCCCAGCUUGCUGGGUGCUCGAGUGGCGAACGGGUGAGUAACACGUGGGUGAUCUGCCCCUAACUUCGGGAUAAGCUUGGGAAACUGGGUCUAAUACCGGAUAGGACAAUCGUUUAGUGUCGGUUGUGGAAAGUUUUUUCGGUUAGGGAUGAGCCCGCGGCCUAUCAGCUUGUUGGUGGGGUAAUGGCCUACCAAGGCGGCGACGGGUAGCCGGCCUGAGAGGGUGGACGGCCACAUUGGGACUGAGAUACGGCCCAGACUCCUACGGGAGGCAGCAGUGGGGAAUAUUGCACAAUGGGCGCAAGCCUGAUGCAGCGACGCCGCGUGGGGGAUGACGGCCUUCGGGUUGUAAACCUCUUUCGACAGGGACGAAGCUUUGGUGACGGUACCUGUAUAAGAAGCACCGGCUAACUACGUG
rnacentral:rRNA from 1 species